rnacentral:rRNA from 1 species
AGCAGCCGCGGUAAUUCCAGCUCCAAUAGCGUAUAUUAAAGUUGUUGCAGUUAAAAAGCUCGUAGUUGAAUUUCGGGGUCAGUAGAUUGGUCAUGCCUCCGGUAUGCACUGGUCUUACUGGCUCCUCCUUCCUGAUGAACCGUAAUGCCAUUAAUUUGGUGUUGCGGGGAGACUGGACUGUUACUUUGAAAAAAUUAGAGUGUUUAAAGCAGGCUAACGCUUGAAUACAUUAGCAUGGAAUAAUGAAAUAGGACGUUCGAUCUUAUUUUGUUGGUUUCUAAGAUUGACGUAAUGAUUAAUAGGGAUAGUUGGGGGCAUUAGUAUUCAAUUGUCAGAGGUGAAAUUCUUGGAUUUAUUGAAGACUAACUACUGCGAAAGCAUUUGCCAAGGAUGUUUUCAUUAAUCAAGAACGAAAGUUAGGGGAUCGAAGACGAUCGGAUACCGUCGUAGUCUUAACCAUAAACUAUGCCGACUAGGGAUCGGAUGAUGUAAUUUUUAAUGACUCAUUCGGCGCCUUACG